GAUGAACGCUGGCGGCGUGCUUAACACAUGCAAGUCGAACGAUGAAGCCCAGCUUGCUGGGUGGAUUAGUGGCGAACGGGUGAGUAACACGUGAGUAACCUGCCCUUAACUCUGGGAUAAGCCUGGGAAACUGGGUCUAAUACCGGAUAGGAGCGUCCACCGCAUGGUGGGUGUUGGAAAGAUUUAUCGGUUUUGGGUGGACUCGCGGCUUAUCAGCUUGUUGGUGGGGGAAUGGCUCACGAAGGCGACGACGGAUAGCCGGCAUUAGAGGGUGACCGGCCACCAGGGGACUACGAGACGGCCCAGACUCCUACGGUAGGCAGCAGUGGGGAAUAUUGCCCAAUGGGCGCGAGCCUGAUGCGGCGACGCUGCGUGAGGGAUGACGGCCUUCGGGUUGUAAACCUCUUUCAGUAGGGAAGAAGCGAAAGUGACGGUACCUGCAGAAGAAGCACCGGCUAACUACGUG
rnacentral:rRNA from 1 species